UUUUGGCAUGUGCCCUAAGUUUAUCCAACUAGAGCACCAUGUAAAUUCAUUUUAUUGGCAGGGUUGCAUCCUGUAACAUAGGAAAGAAUCCUUGACAGUGUUCAGAAUCCUUGAUCUUCACAUAAAGACCGUUCAAGGUGAGAUAAUUAUCCUCACCUAGACUAUCAUGCAGUGUUAAAUUACAGAAAAAGCAUUAAACUUGGUCAACCAUGCCCACCACUUCAAUGACACUGAUUAUAGAAGCCAGCAAAAAGAUCAUAGCAAUCCUUAACAGAUGCCCCCGAUGAUACAUUGUCCCUGUUCUUUAGCUUUCUAAAUUUUAAAGUAAUUUCAAUCCAGAAAGACCUCAACCACAAAUUGCAGCUACAAUCCCAAGACAGACUUCAACCAUUUUCAAUUCAAAUCACAUAAUAAGAAAGAAAAGGAUUUAGACUUUAUGCUUAACGUCAGAAAUUU
rnacentral:lncRNA from 1 species